rnacentral:lncRNA from 1 species
AAAACAGUACAAAGAGUUGUCAUUAAUGGUAAAUUUUCAAGCUGGACAGAGGUGGCAAGUGGUGUCCCUCAGGGGUCUGUUCUAGGACCCAUUCUAUUUAACAUGUUUAUAAAUGAUCUUGAAGACAGCAUUGAAAGUCAUGUUUCAGUGUUUGCAGAUGACAGAAAACUCUGUAAAAUAAUACAAUGUGAGCAAGAUAUUACUUUGUUGCAGAGGGAUUUAG